UACGUAGGGGGCAAGCGUUGUCCGGAUUUACUGGGCGUAAAGCGCGCGUAGGCGGACGGGCAAGUCCGGUGUGAAAGCCCCCAGCUCAACUGGGGAAGGACGCUGGAAACUGCCCGUCUUGAGGGCGGCAGAGGGAAGUGGAAUUGCUGGUGUAGCGGUGAAAUGCGUAGAUAUCAGCAGGAACACCCGUGGCGAAGGCGGCUUUCUGGGCCGCACCUGACGCUGAGGCGCGAAAGCGUGGGGAGCGAACGGG
rnacentral:rRNA from 1 species